rnacentral:ncRNA from 1 species
AUAAAAUAAUUAUGUUUUUGAAAAUUUAUUUUAAAUUUGUUUUACAUAUAAAUUUUAGUGAAUAAUUUUAAUUAUUUUAAUAAUAGUUAAUUUGACUUUGUAGUAAUUAAUAUUAAAAAUUUAAGAAAUUAAGAUUUAGUAAUAUAAAAAUUAAUAACUAAUUUUGUGCCAGCAGUUGCGGUUAAACAAAAGUUAAAUUAAAUUAUUUCAGUAUAUAAUAAAUAAUUAAAUUAUUAAAUUAAAUAUUAAAUUAUUAAGUGAAAUUUUAAUUUAAUUAAAUUUUAUUUUUAAAUUAUGAAUUUAAUAAAUUUUAAUAUAAACUAGGAUUAGAUACCCUAUUAUUAAAAAUUUAAUUUAUAAUACUAAAAUAGUAAAUAAUAAUUUAUUGAAACUUAAAUAAUAUGGCGGUAUUUUAGUUCAUUUAGAGGAAUCUGUCUAAUAAUUGAUAAUCCACGAAUAAAUUUACUUAAUUUAUAAUUUUGUAUAUCAUUGUUAAAAAAAUAUUUUUUAGGAAAAAUAAUAUUUAAAAUUUAAAAUUAAAAGUUAAAUCAGAUCAAGAUGCAGAAUAUAAUUAAGAAUAUGAUGGAUUACAUUAAAUAUAUUUAAAUGAAUAAUUUUAUUGUAAUAAAAAUUUGAAGGUGGAUUUAAAUGUAAUUUUAAUUAAUUUAUUAAAAUGAUUAAAAAUUAAAAUAUGUACAUAUUGCCCGUCACUUUCAUUUAAAAAUUGAAAUAAGUCGUAACAAAGUAGAGGUACUGGAAAGUGUUUCUAGAAAGA